rnacentral:rRNA from 1 species
UACGGAGGGGGCUAGCGUUGUUCGGAAUUACUGGGCGUAAAGCGCACGUAGGCGGCUUUGUAAGUUAGAGGUGAAGGCCCGGAGCUCAACUCCGGAACUGCCUUUAAGACUGCAUCGCUAGAAUCAUGGAGAGGUCAGUGGAAUUCCGAGUGUAGAGGUGAAAUUCGUAGAUAUUCGGAAGAACACCAGUGGCGAAGGCGACUGACUGGACAUGUAUUGACGCUGAGGUGCGAAAGCGUGGGGAGCAAACAGG